CCUGGGAUAGCAUAGGGGGAGGAAUUUCUAGGGAGCCACAUGUAGAAUAAUGGCACUGAGCUGGAACAGAAGGGAAGACCAGAGGGAUGAUUGGGACAUUUUGCUGAUUUAGGAGAUUAUCAAUACUUCAUCUUGCCAACUGAAUGCCUCACCUAUUCCUCCUGAUGUGCCAAUGCGGAUGAUUGUCACAUCACAACACUUUGCAUGGUAAAGGAGUUUGAUGAGCUCAUGCAGCAUAAUUGAAAUGGAAGGGAUGCCCAUGCCGUGCUGUCAAGAAGAAAAGAAAAGUCACCAUAUUUCUUUGAAAUUAAUAGAUGAACGAGACAGAUUUUUCCCCUUCUUUACAAGUUAACAGCGUACAAAUGAAUUUAUACAAUCAUUAAGGACUUGGCAGGGCUGUGGAAGAUUUAAGUCAGCUCUAACUCAUAUUCCCAAGAUUGCUUGAUGGAUAUGCACAUCUGGGAGGAUCUGAAAGGAGGAUUUCCUUCUCCAUUUAAGUGGAUUCUGUGCUCCUCUACAGUAGCAAAAAAAAAGACAGUAUGUGGUCUCCGAGAUUGUUAGAAGGACAUAAUUUCUUUACUCCCCACUAAGCUUCUUAUGAGGAAACUUUUCCAAAGAGCAUUUUUCAUGUUUAAUUUGACUUUGAGAAAAUGUGCAUGUUUUUUGUGGCUGCCAUGUCACUCAAACUUCUCUAUUGUGCUAAGUGAAAUUUGAAAUUUCUUUUGUUGUCCUCAUGUUUCCUUGCCUGAAUUACCUUGCUGCUAUUUCUAUGUGAAUGGUAGGUGGGAUAAGGGGGAAGGUUGGGUGAAAAUGGGCUAAGAAUAUAGGAAUAGGCAUCUGAAAAAAAUUCUACAAGUCACUGAUAAUCAAAAGAAAAACCAAGUAAAGUUAAGUAAUUGAGAUUUCACUUCACGCCCAUGAUAUUUGCAAAGACCAAAAAAGAAAAUGGCAAGUCUCAGAGGAAACAAGUAUAUUAUAUCUUUUGGGGAAACAAAUAUAUUAAUGCCCUGUUGGUGGACUUGUGAAAUGGUAUAGCCAUUCUGUAAAGCAGAUUGGAACGAUGCCCCCAAAGUGACUGAAUGGUGAUAUACUUUCAGUGAUAACAUCAUCAUGAGCCCAUGUCCCCCCAAUAGAUAGGUAAAGAUAUAUUCAUAUGUGUACAUAUAUCUGUAUAUAUGGGAGGGCACAUACUUAUAUACGUAUUGAUAGAUGGAUAGCUCUAGAGAUCAAAGAAGGAGAAAAAGGAUUCAUAUACAGAGAUAUUUAUAGCAUGAGGGAAUUAGAACAGCAAGUGGUAGUGGUAAUUGACUCCACACGGACUCUAGCUUUUGAUUCAAUUCUGGAACUAUCUCAGUUUCCUUUCUAUUCAAUCAUGUGUCUAGUCCAAUUUCUAUCCUGUGAGAAAACUUUAUUCAAUUGUGGGAAUUGUCAGAAACUUUACUAUCUUGUAUGAACCUAGUCCUGCCUGGCUGGAAAACUGAGCCACCUCUACCUCCUGCUUAGAGAUCCUUAACUAAGGACCUAGGUCGUGCUCACUAAAAACUCAGUCAGAUCUCAAGAUGAAUGCAAGAAGUUUUGUCAUAAUUAUACAUAUUAAGCAACCCAUGUGUCUUAUCUGAAAACUGGCUCCACACAAGUUAAUCAGUUGUUAUUUCUGUGUUUCUUUGAUUGAAUAUAGACACUGGGAGGUGGAUAGGAUGCCUCUUUUUCUGAUUUCAGUGAAUUGCACCAAUUUGUUAUCCCCCUCUCAACUUGAAAACUCUCUAAUCUUACCUCCAAUUACAAAUCAUAAUACCUAAUUUUAUAUCCAUGCUAAUUGUUUUCUUUUAAUUAAUUGGUCUUUUAAUUAUUUUUAAUGCAUAAAAAUCUGUCUCCCCCUGUAUUCAGGGGCCAGUGCCAAAGCUGACAAAGCCCUGGUCCCAGUUUCUUAUGCAAUUGGCAUGUAUUAUUUCUCAUAAAUUGAGGUGCUUGCAAGCUCA